UACGAAGGGGGCUAGCGUUGCUCGGAAUUACUGGGCGUAAAGGGCGCGUAGGCGGCGAACCAAGUCAGAUGUGAAAGUCCUGGGCUUAACCUGGGGACUGCAUUUGAUACUGGUUUGCUUGAAUUCGGGAGAGGAUAGCGGAAUUCCCAGUGUAGAGGUGAAAUUCGUAGAUAUUGGGAAGAACACCGGUGGCGAAGGCGGCUAUCUGGACCGACAUUGACGCUGAGGCGCGAAAGCGUGGGGAGCAAACAGG
rnacentral:rRNA from 1 species